rnacentral:rRNA from 1 species
GUGGGCAUUAGGUGUGGGGCUUAUCACGGGUUCCGUGCGGCAGCUAACGCAUUUAGUGCCCCGCCUGGGGAGUACGGCCGCCAAGGCUAAAACUCAAAGGAAUUGACGGGGGCCCCGCACAAAGCGGCGGAGCAUGUUGCUUAAUUUCGAGGCAACGCGAAGAACCUUACCUGGGUUUGACAUGUACGGAAAAGCCACAGAGAUGUGGUGUCCUUCGGGGCCGUACACAGGUGGUGCAUGGCUGUCGUCAGCACGUGUCGUGAGAUGUUGGGUUAAGUCCCGCAACGAGCGCAACCCUCGUCCUAUGUUGCCAGCGGGUAAUGCCGGGGACUCGUAGGAGACUGCCGGGGACAACUCGGAGGAAGGUGGGGACGACGUCAAGUCAUCAUGCCCCUUAUGUCCAGGGCUGCAAACAUGCUACAAUGGCCGGUACAACGGGCUGCGAGACCGCGAGGUUGAGCGAAUCCCUGAAAGCCGGUCUCAGUUCGGAUUGGAGUCUGCAACUCGACUCCAUGAAGUCGGAGUCGCUAGUAAUCCCGGAUCAGCAACGCCGGGGUGAAUACGUUCCCGG